rnacentral:sRNA from 1 species
GUUUAGCCCCGAUAGAAGCGGUAUCCUGUUGUGGCGGGGUUCGCCAUAACAGAUAUAGUGGAUAGCGGGACAAAAG